rnacentral:rRNA from 1 species
GACGAACCGUCCAAACGUUAUUCGGAAUUACUGGGCUUAAAGGGUGCGUAGGCGGCGCGGAAAGUUGGGUGUGAAAUCCCUCGGCUCAACCGAGGAACUGCGCCCAAUACUACCGUGCUCGAGGGAGAUAGAGGUGAGCGGAACUUAGGGUGGAGCGGUGAAAUGCGUUGAUAUCCUAAGGAACACCGGUGGCGAAAGCGGCUACACUGGAUCUCUUCUGACGCUGAGGCACGAAAGCUAGGGUAGCGAACGGGG